UAAGGGGAAAAGAAAGAAAAAGAAAAUUGCAUUCUUAGUGUUGAGGGAGUCAAUUGCCAGUACACAAAGGCAAACACAUGCAUGAUAAACUUCAUUUUUCAUCGUAAUUAAACAUAAACUCUAUCAAUCAAUCAAACAGCAAAAACAGGAACAACAGAACACACUUUAACGCCAAUAAAUCACAUAAGAGAAGAUUAAAGAUUAAACAAUAUAAAGAGACAAAG
rnacentral:misc_RNA from 1 species